CGAGUGCGUUCAGAGUUGAUCCUGGCUCAGAGAACGCUGGCGGCGUGCCUAAUACAUGCAAGUCGAGCGAAGAGUUAAUGGUGCUUGCACCAAUAACACUUAGCGGCGAACGGGUGAGUAACACGUAAAGAACCUGCCUCAUAGACUGGGACAACUACUGGAAACGGUAGCUAAUACCGGAUAAUAUUUAAAAUCGCAUGGGGAUAAAUUAAAAGUCGGUGCAAGCUGACACUAUGAGAUGGCUUUGCGGUGCAUUAGCUAGUUGGUAGGGUAAAGGCCUACCAAGGCGACGAUGCAUAGCCGACCUGAGAGGGUGAUCGGCCACACCGGGACUGAGACACGGCCCAG
rnacentral:rRNA from 1 species